UCCUUUCGUAGGGUGGCGUGGUCAUCUACUUGGACAACUUUGGAAUGUGUCCCGCGUUGAGAGCCGGUCUGUCAGAAGUUGCAGAGGCCCGGACCUGCAGCAGGUGUGCGAGGGGUGAGAGCCUCGGGGGACUGAGCCUCAGCGUGACACUGAGACUCAAUAUGACAUGUGUUGAAAACACGGAGGACACAAACGGGGGGUACUGUGUGACUUGGCAGAUCCUACAAACCGCAGGAGCUGAGAUGAAGGCCCAGGGCAAUAUUCCAAGGGGGUGUGACGUGGCUCAGAGCUCCUUGGACACGAGCUGACUGGCCUUGGCCGAAAGCAGCUUAGAUUUUCACCGUGGAGCCAGAAAACUACGAAGUUCCGUACUCGCUUUUCGUUCUCCAUGCGGGUAAUAAGUAGUCCACGGGUGUAUUGCGAAUGGAUAGGAUUAUUGUGUGGGAUCAUGCCGAGAAGAAAUGAGUUUUUCCAUGGGAAAUGCCGAGAAAUCGGUACGAACCCAGUAGAGGCGAACUUCACUAGCAUGUAGAUCGUGGCCUCCAGAAAUCGUUGUUAUGACACGGUCCUAAGACUUGUCGGAGACACAGCUGACUUCAAAUCUGGGCGGGAAACGGACGCUUCUUACGCUAGGAAGCCGGAUUCCAUGAUACCCAAUACGACGAGGGUCCAGUCAAAACACACAGGAACCAGAGUGAGUAGACUCCCACGUGGCAAACACAGGACAGCGUGGAUCACCGCAGGAGGCAAAGCAUAAUGGUGACAACCGGGACUGCCCGCAGCUACUUGGGAUGUGUGGACAGUGUUUCAAAGCACAUGUCAGCCGAUCGCAAUGUCUGGACCGUCUUUGGACUAGUAGAUUCGCACAGAGUGAAGUGAGUUUAUUUAUCUCGGGAAAACGCCGACAUCGAGUACUUGCUGUUCUAUCUAAUACGGUUAAAUUUUUAGAUGGAAUAAUGGUGCCGUGAUGACGUCUAAAGAGGAAUGUCUCUUCGUUCAUUUGAUAGAAACACAUUGACUUUUUGUCGAGGAAGGGCUAUUGUGAAAGAGGAUGAUGAACUGAAGGUAGGAGGUGUAGCGGGUAUAAAAGACACGAGCUCUGGCCAAGAGUUGAUGAUUUUUGAGUCAGGGCGAUGAGUGUGUACUGUGCUCUUCUUUCUGUUUUUGUUCCUAUUUCAAAUUCUCCAUAACCAAAAGUUUCCAAAGCUCCCAUAAGCAGGGUCAAAAACAAAUUGCAAAGAGGACAAGGUAUCCGUAGCGCAUAUGAUCGGCACACUGUUAACAUUACAGAAUAUCUGUGUUUUGUAUGCUUAAUAUGCAUUUGACGCUGUAUCCUCAUUACUGAUGGAGAAGAUACAAAAUAAACAUGAAACAAGAUACGCUUUCAAACUCACCGGAUUGAGGAAACUUAAGAAACCGAUCACUGUGUUGGCUGGGAUGAGAAGUCUUCUACAC